ACGCUGGCGGCGUGCCUAAUACAUGCAAGUCGAGCGAACAGAUGAGAAGCUUGCUUCUCUGAUGUUAGCGGCGGACGGGUGAGUAACACGUGGGUAACCUACCUAUAAGACUGGGAUAACUCCGGGAAACCGGGGCUAAUACCGGAUAAUAUUUUGAACCGCAUGGUUCAAUAGUGAAAGACGGUUUCGGCUGUCACUUAUAGAUGGACCCGCGCCGUAUUAGCUAGUUGGUAAGGUAACGGCUUACCAAGGCGACGAUACGUAGCCGACCUGAGAGGGUGAUCGGCCACACUGGAACUGAGACACGGUCCAGACUCCUACGGGAGGCAGCAGUAGGGAAUCUUCCGCAAUGGGCGAAAGCCUGACGGAGCAACGCCGCGUGAGUGAUGAAGGUCUUCGGAUCGUAAAACUCUGUUGUUAGGGAAGAACAAAUUUGUUAGUAACUGAACAAGUCUUGACGGUACCUAACCAGAAAGCCACGGCUAACUACGUGCCAGCAGCCGCGGUAAUACGUAGGUGGCAAGCGUUAUCCGGAAUUAUUGGGCGUAAAGCGCGCGUAGGCGGUUUCUUAAGUCUGAUGUGAAAGCCCACGGCUCAACCGUGGAGGGUCAUUGGAAACUGGGRAACUUGAGUGCAGAAGAGGAGAGUGGAAUUCCAUGUGUAGCGGUGAAAUGCGCAGAGAUAUGGAGGAACACCAGUGGCGAAGGCGGCUCUCUGGUCUGUAACUGACGCUGAUGUGCGAAAGCGUGGGGAUCAAACAGGAUUAGAUACCCUGGUAGUCCACGCCGUAAACGAUGAGUGCUAAGUGUUAGGGGGUUUCCGCCCCUUAGUGCUGCAGCUAACGCAUUAAGCACUCCGCCUGGGGAGUACGACCGCAAGGUUGAAACUCAAAGGAAUUGACGGGGACCCGCACAAGCGGUGGAGCAUGUGGUUUAAUUCGAAGCAACGCGAAGAACCUUACCAAAUCUUGACAUCCUUUGACCGCUCUAGAGAUAGAGUCUUCCCCUUCGGGGGACAAAGUGACAGGUGGUGCAUGGUUGUCGUCAGCUCGUGUCGUGAGAUGUUGGGUUAAGUCCCGCAACGAGCGCAACCCUUAAGCUUAGUUGCCAUCAUUAAGUUGGGCACUCUAGGUUGACUGCCGGUGACAAACCGGAGGAAGGUGGGGAUGACGUCAAAUCAUCAUGCCCCUUAUGAUUUGGGCUACACACGUGCUACAAUGGAUAAUACAAAGGGCAGCGAAUCCGCGAGGCCAAGCAAAUCCCAUAAAAUUAUUCUCAGUUCGGAUUGUAGUCUGCAACUCGACUACAUGAAGCUGGAAUCGCUAGUAAUCGUAGAUCAGCAUGCUACGGUGAAUACGUUCCCGGGUCUUGUACACACCGCCCGUCACACCACGAGAGUUUGUAACACCCGAAGCCGGUGGAGUAACCUUUUAGGAGCUAGCCGUCGAAGGUGGGAC
rnacentral:rRNA from 1 species